rnacentral:lncRNA from 1 species
AGAAUGGGACAACAGAAGAAGUGACUUCAGAGGAAGAGGAAGAAGAGGAGAUGGCUGAAAUUCAACCAAGAUGGUGUCCUGGGUAUGGUGGAAGAAGAUGUUCUCUGGGAUGCAGACAUUUCCCUGAACAAGUCCAUCACAGAGAGCAGGAGAGUCUGGCCUCUUCAGAUGUGAGCCAUCAUUAAGUUCAAAUUCACUCCACCAUCCAUGCAAAC